GUGGGGAAUAUUGGACAAUGGGGGGAACCCUGAUCCAGCCAUGCCGCGUGUGUGAAGAAGGCCUUUUGGUUGUAAAGCACUUUAAGCGAGGAGGAGGCUACCGAGAUUAAUACUCUUGGAUAGUGGACGUUACUCGCAGAAUAAGCACCGGCUAACUCUGUGCCAGCAGCCGCGGUAAUACAGAGGGUGCAAGCGUUAAUCGGAUUUACUGGGCGUAAAGCGCGCGUAGGUGGCCAAUUAAGUCAAAUGUGAAAUCCCCGAGCUUAACUUGGGAAUUGCAUUCGAGACUGGUUGGCUAGAGUAUGGGAGAGGAUGGUAGAAUUCCAGGUGUAGCGGUGAAAUGCGUAGAGAUCUGGAGGAAUACCGAUGGCGAAGGCAGCCAUCUGGCCUAAUACUGACACUGAGGUGCGAAAGCAUGGGGAGCAAACAGGAUUAGAAACCCGUGUAGUCC
rnacentral:rRNA from 1 species